ACCCCCUCCCCUCAGUUGUUUUCUGAGGCUGAAGCCCAAGGACCUUUCUUGCUGCUGGGUGUGAGGUGGACCCAUCCAGACAAAAAGUUAAACUAUAUUAAUUAAUCCAUUUCAAAACUACUAACAUUACAGAGAUUUUAGAGUAAUGGUUAAUGAUAAAAUAGCAUCAUGCAAAUUUCAUAAAGUAGAUAAAUGGAAGGUAUUUAAAAUUGUAAGGUAUUAAAAAUUAGAAAGAGACUUAAAAAAUUAAUAGCAUGACUCCUAAUAGUUUGAAUGAUAAAAUCAACUGUUCAGUAGUUUUGUAAACAAUCAUGGCAUUUUUAGUAGGCUUUUGAGAUAAUCUCAAUUUUAAUUUGACAGAGUAAAAGUAGAGAAGACUAUAUGGUUGCUUAGUCAAGCUUUGUUAGCAAAGCAGUGUAACUUACCCACAACUGUUAGCAGGGAAAUCAAGAUAAACAUGCUUGUUAACUGUAUAAGAGUCAGGUUCUCAAAGCCAGAUGAGUGUAUUUGUUAGAAGAGUUACAAGAGAAAACAUAGUAGAAGCAACAAUCCUUCAAGACUAUAAGGUUUCUACAACAUGCAAGGAGAAUAAGAAAUAGUGAACAUUUAAGCUUGAAAAAUUUGUAUCAUAAGGAGAAUGAUUUUAUAUUAUUUUACCUUGGAAGCCAAAGAAGAUUACUGACAACAGAUUUGAGCUAGUCACAAGGAGAGAAGAAAAGUUCCUACAUAAUUAAGGGAAGGAAAUUAGACUGGAAUUGAAGAAGAUUAUGAAACAGAAUAUUAGCGCUUUCUGUCUUUCAGUCAUCAUUAUAUGCAGCUGUUCUGGCUUGAUUUCAGCCAUUAGGAUAUUCAGUUGUUCUGGGCUUGACUACUACUCAUUACAAAGACAUGUAUUUAGAUUGACUAUUAUCUUUGGAUAUACCCUUUUAUUAUGAUGAUCUUUUCUGAGAUAUUUGAAUGUGCAAAAACUGUUUAUGAUUAACACUUUGUCUAUUGUGUAUAUAUCCAAGUCCCUUCUUGAAAGAUUGUGUGAAGUAUAAACAAUGAAGUAUAA